CCAAUAGCGUAUAUUAAAGUUGUUGCAGUUAAAAAGCUCGUAGUUGAAUUUCGGGAUCAAUUUACUGGUCGUGCUAUUGUACGCACUGGUUUUAUUGAUUUCUACCUUCUGACGAACCAUGAUGCCAUUAAUUUGGUGUUAUGGGGAAUCAGGACUGUUACUUUGAAAAAAUUAGAGUGUUUAAAGCAGGUUCACGCUUGAAUACAUUAGCAUGGAAUAAUGAAAUAGGACGUUUGAUUCUAUUUUGUUGGUUUCUAGGAUCGACGUAAUGAUUAAUAGGGAUAGUUGGGGGCAUUAGUAUUCAAUUGUCAGAGGUGAAAUUCUUGGAUUUAUUGAAGACUAACUACUGCGAAAGCAUUUGCCAAGGAUGUUUUCAUUAAUCAAGAACGAAAGUUAGGGGAUCGAAGACGAUCAGAUACCGUCGUAGUCUUAACCAUAAACUAUGCCGACUAGGGAUCGGAUGAUGUUAAUUUUUUAAUGACUCAUUCGGCGCCUUACG
rnacentral:rRNA from 1 species